GUGGGUUCUGGGGGCAGUGCGACUGAGCCUGGGCAGAGGGGCGGGGCUGGAGCUGGCUCAUCCCACAGGGCCCAGUGACGCGUGGGCAGGGCAGCGACAGGGAGUGUGUGGCGACAGGAGUUAUGGCUGCAGCACAAGCCCCUGGCGUGCUCCGGAGGGCCAGAGAGCUGCCACCUGCCAAGAGGCACCCUAUGCCCAACGCCUAUGUGAGUGCUGCCUGGGACGGAGCACAAAAGACAAACUGACUGUAGGUCCAAAGAGAGCAAGAGUGAUCUUUCCAGUGAACCAGAGCUGCUGGCAUUUGAUGGGGCCUGCUCCAGUGGCAGAGCGAUUUCCCAACUGGCUGCCUGCCUGGACUGACACACACAAAACCUGCACAGUACUGUCUCCUCUCCAGCUACACAUCUUCAAGCGAGCACCCAGCAACUUCCAUAUGCAGAGAGAAGAAUGAGAUGGACUUUUCAGCUUCGAAAAGAGAUGACUAAGGAGAGACAUGAUAGAGGUCAAUAAAAUCAUGACUGGUCUGGAGAAACUAAAUAAAAAAGUACAGAAGUUCACAUAACUGCAACAAAAAUUAACUAGACUGUUUUUUGCAUCUCAAAGUUUGGUUUGCGUUUUUAACUGAAGUUCACAUUUCUCUUUUCUCUAAACCAGUUCAUCCAUUUUAAACUACAACACAGCAUCUGAAUUUAAUUUGAAUAUGUAACAAUCC